AUUGAACGCUGGCGGCAUGCCUUACACAUGCAAGUCGAACGGUAACAGGUCUUCGGAUGCUGACGAGUGGCGAACGGGUGAGUAAUACAUCGGAACGUGCCCGAGAGUGGGGGAUAACGAGGCGAAAGCUUUGCUAAUACAGCAUACGAUCUCAGGAUGCAAGCAGGGGACCGCAAGGCCUCGCGCACACGGAGCGGCCGAUGGCAGAUUAGGUAGUUGGUGGGAUAAAAGCUUACCAAGCCGACGAUCUGUAGCUGGUCUGAGAGGACGACCAGCCACACUGGGACUGAGACACGGCCCAGACUCCUACGGGAGGCAGCAGUGGGGAAUUUUGGACAAUGGGCGCAAGCCUGAUCCAGCCAUGCCGCGUGCAGGAUGAAGGCCUUCGGGUUGUAAACUGCUUUUGUACGGAACGAAAAGACUCCGGUUAAUACCUGGGGUCCAUGACGGUACCGUAAGAAUAAGCACCGGCUAACUACGUGCCAGCCGCCGCAGUAAUAC
rnacentral:rRNA from 1 species